AGAGUUUGAUCCUGGCUCAGAACGAACGCUGGCGGCGCGCCUAACACAUGCAAGUCGAACGAGAGGCUCUUCGGAGUAGUAAAGUGGCGAACGGGUGAGUAAUACAUGGGUAAUCUGCCUUCGAGCAGGGGAUAACCAGCCGAAAGGCUGGCUAAUACCCCAUACGCUUCCGGUCCUUCGGGUAAGGAAGGAAAGCUGCAUCGUGGAUGUGGCACUCGAAGAUGGUCCCAUGGCCUAUCAGCUUGUUGGUGGGGUAAUGGCCUACCAAGGCAACGACGGGUAGCUGGUCUGAGAGGACGAUCAGCCACACUGGCACUGAGAUACGGGCCAGACUCCUACGGGAGGCAGCAGUGAGGAAUCUUGCGCAAUGGGCGAAAGCCUGACGCAGCGACGCCGCGUGGGGGAAGAAGGUUUUCGGAUUGUAAACCCCUUUUAGGAGGAAAGAUGGGGUGGUUCGCCACCCGGACGGUACCUCCAGAAAAAGCCACGGCUAACUUCGUGCCAGCAGCCGCGGUAAUACGAWKGUGSCGAGCGUUGUUCGGAUUUACUGGGCGUAAAGAGCACGUAGGCGGUUUAGUAAGCCCCUUGGGAAAGCUACGGGCUUAACCCGUAAAGGUCGAGGGGGACUGCUAAGCUAGAGGGCGGGAGAGGAGCGCGGAAUUUCCGGUGUAGCGGUGAAAUGCGUAGAUAUCGGGAAGAAGGCCGGUGGCGAAGGCGGCGCUCUGGAACGUCUCUGACGCUGAGGUGCGAAAGCGUGGGGAGCAAACAGGAUUAGAUACCCUGGUAGUCCACGCCGUAAACGAUGGGUACUAAGUGUCGGCAGGUUACUGUCKGUGCCGCAGUUAACGCAGUAAGUACCCGCCUGGCGAGUACGGCCGCAAGGUUGAACUCAAAGGAAUUGACGGGGGCCCGCACAAGCGGUGGAGCAUGUGAUUAAUUCGACGCAACGCGAAGAACCUUACCCAGGUUGGACAUGCUCA
rnacentral:rRNA from 1 species